AUGGGGAGGGCUCAAAAGGAAAAGAUACCGGCUGAGGCUAGGCGGUCUCUCAGGGAGGAAUGCAGAGUGCAAGCAGAGAAUAACCAGCAGGCUCAACCUGCGAUACCUAUUAGUUAUGCCAUGUUAACAGGGACGGGGGAUGGGUACUCCACUGGCAUCCAACAGGCCACAAUAACUGGCCUGUACCAUGACCAGGCCACUGCCCUCCGAGUACCUCCUAUUAGGUGGAAGCCAGGAAGCCCAAUCUGGGUGGAGCAGUGGCCAUUGACCAAACCUAAACUUGUAGCCCUCCACCUUUUGGUGAAGGAACUGAUAAACCUUGGGCACAUAUGCCCUUCUCUGAGUCCUUGGAACACACGAAAGGAUGGAGCUAGUAGAAACGCCCCUAAGAGGCAAAUAGCUGGAUUAGAACAAGCCCAACCUCUGGACUAUAAAGUGGCAAAGACUGCUAUCCCAUCCUUGACUAAUGUUAAAGGACUGCUAAUGACAUUGCUUGGCCUGGAGCAUGCCAGGCUAUUCAUGUACCAGCUGCUAUGGGCUCAAGUACAUUCAUUCUACAAACAUACUGCACAGAGAUAUCAAACCAGCUAAUCUUUUCACCAAUACCGAAGACCUGGUGUUGAAUAUAGAUGAGUUUGGUCUGGCACUGAUCAUGGAUCCUCAUUAUUCCCAUAAGAGUCAUCUUUCUGAAGGAUUGGUUACUAAAUGGUACAGAUCUCCAUGUCUUUUACUUUCUCCUAACAAUUAUACUAAAGCCAUUGACAUGUGGGCUUCAGGCUGCAUUGCAUCUAUGCUGAAUUGCUGAGUGGUAAAACCUUCUUUUCAGGUGCACAUGAACCUGAACAGACCCAACUGGUUUUAGAAUCUAUUCCUGUUGUCCAUGAGGAGAAUUGUCAGGAGAUUCUCAGUGUAAUUCCCGUUUACAUUAGAAAAGACAUGACUGAGCCACACAAACACAUAACCCAGCUGCUUCCAGGAAUUAGCCAAGAAGCACUGAGUUUCUUGGAGCAGACACAGAUCUUUAGCCCCAUGGAUUACUUGACUGCGGAGGAAGCGCUCUCUCAUCCCUACAUGAAUAUUUAUUCCUUUCCCAUGGAUGAGCCCAUAUCAAGCCAUCUUUUUCACAUCAAAAAUGAAGUGGAGAUAUUUUUCUUGUGGAUGAAACUCACAAUCACAUUUAUAAUUGGGAAAGGUACCAUGAUUGCCAGUUCUCUGAGCAUGGUUGGCAUAUACAUAACAAUUUUGAUACUGAAGAAGUUCAGCUUGACUGGAGAGCUCUGUUUGAAAUCACUGAUGAAGAAGGGGUGCAAGUGUACCCUCGGAAAUACUGGGAUGGAGAUCAAGAGAAGUAUCUGGAGGAGGAUGCUUUUGGCUCCAAUUACUCGUCAGAGCCCUGCUCUACCCAGACUACCAUGAGAACAAAUACUGUGACCUGGAGUGUAGCCAUACCUGUAACUACAAAAUGAGGUCACCAUCGUACCUUGACAACUUAGUGUGGAGAGAGAGUGAGGUUAAUCAUUAUUACAAGCCCAAGCUUAUUAUUGACCUUUCCAACUGGAAAGAACAAAGCAAAGACAAAUUGGAUAGGAGAGAGCAGAACGGAUUGAUGAAGGCCCUAAUAGCGUUAGAGGAAGCCUCCCAGCAGGGUGCUGAGGAGAGGGAGCAGAAACAGAGAUUUGAUUUCAAUUACUUCAUUUCAGGAACUAUUCAGCUCAGCUCGUAGCAUGAGCCCACUCAUAUUGUUGAUAAGUUACAUGACUUGAAUAGCUUAGUGUCCCAGCUAGAAUUGAAAAGUCUGAUAGCAAAAUUAGUGAGCCAGGAGAAGCAGGAGAAGGGGAUGGCGAACCUGGCACAGCUGGGAGCCUGGUACCAGUUGUCCUGGGACAGCCAGUUUGUGGACAGUGGUGAGGAGUGCUUCCUCAUCAGUUAAUUCUGCUGUGAGUUCAGGAAGGAUGAGAAAGUGGAGAAGGAAAACAUGUCCACCACUUACUUGGAUAAGAUUUUUAGCAGGAAGGAAGAGUCUGAAGUGCUAGAAACUGAGCCAGAGGAAGAAGGCAGACUCAGAGACAGCCACAGCUAGGAAUUCCGCUUUAACAAGCAGCUGGAGUCCAUAAGCAUUCCUGUUUCCCAUCCCCAUGGGGUCAACACUUAAGUCAUUCCAGACUACCUUAACACCUUCUGCUCUGAAAUCCUCAUACAGAAACAUUCUAAAACACCUGAAAUAA